rnacentral:rRNA from 1 species
UCCGUAGGUGAACCUGCGGAAGGAUCAUUACAAGUGAGGCUACCGAACGUUGGAAACAGCGGUUAGGAGCUUACACCCACCCGUGUUUACAUACUAUUGUUGCUUUGGCGGGCCGUGGCCUCCACUGCGGGCUCUGCUCGUGUGUGCCCGCCAGAGAACCAAACUCUGAAUGUUAGUGAUGUCUGAGUACUAUCUAAUAGUUAAAACUUUCAACAACGGAUCUCUUGGUUCUGGCAUCGAUGAAGAACGCAGCGAAAUGCGAUAAGUAACGUGAAUUGCAGAAUUCAGUGAAUCAUCGAAUCUUUGAACGCACAUUGCGCCCUGUGGUAUUCCGCAGGGCAUGCCUGUUCGAGCGUCAUUUAACCACUCACGCCUAGCGUGGUAUUGGGGCACGCGGUCUCCGCGGCCCUCAAAAUCAGUGGCGGCGCCGGUGGGCUCUAAGCGUAGUACAUACUCCCGCUAUAGAGUUCCCCCCGGUGGCUCGCCAGAACCCCCAAUUUUUUACAGGUUGACCUCGGAUCAGGUAGGGAUACCCGCUGAACUUAAGCAUAUCAAUAAGCGGAGGA